rnacentral:rRNA from 1 species
GAUGAACGCUGGCGGCGUGCCUAAUACAUGCAAGCCGAGCGAACGGACGAGAAGCUUGCUUCUCUGAUGUUAGCGGCGGACGGGUGAGUAACACGUGGAUAACCUACCUAUAAGACUGGGAUAACUUCGGGAAACCGGAGCUAAUACCGGAUAAUAUUUUGAACCGCAUGGUUCAAAAGUGAAAGACGGUCUUGCUGUCACUUAUAGAUGGAUCCGCGCUGCAUUAGCUAGUUGGUAAGGUAACGGCUUACCAAGGCAACGAUGCAUAGCCGACCUGAGAGGGUGAUCGGCCACACUGGAACUGAGACACGGUCCAGACUCCUACGGGAGGCAGCAGUAGGGAAUCUUCCGCAAUGGGCGAAAGCCUGACGGAGCAACGCCGCGUGAGUGAUGAAGGUCUUCGGAUCGUAAAACUCUGUUAUUAGGGAAGAACAUAUGUGUAAGUAACUGUGCACAUCUUGACGGUACCUAAUCAGAAAGCCACGGCUAACUACGUGCCAGCAGCCGCGGUAAUACGUAGGUGGCAAGCGUUAUCCGGAAUUAUUGGGCGUAAAGCGCGCGUAGGCGGUUUUUUAAGUCUGAUGUGAAAGCCCACGGCUCAACCGUGGAGGGUCAUUGGAAACUGGAAAACUUGAGUGCAGAAGAGGAAAGUGGAAUUCCAUGUGUAGCGGUGAAAUGCGCAGAGAUAUGGAGGAACACCAGUGGCGAAGGCGACUUUCUGGUCUGUAACUGACGCUGAUGUGCGAAAGCGUGGGGAUCAAACAGGAUUAGAUACCCUGGUAGUCCACGCCGUAAACGAUGAGUGCUAAGUGUUAGGGGGUUUCCGCCCCUUAGUGCUGCAGCUAACGCAUUAAGCACUCCGCCUGGGGAGUACGACCGCAAGGUUGAAACUCAAAGGAAUUGACGGGGACCCGCACAAGCGGUGGAGCAUGUGGUUUAAUUCGAAGCAACGCGAAGAACCUUACCAAAUCUUGACAUCCUUUGACAACUCUAGAGAUAGAGCCUUCCCCUUCGGGGGGGCAAAGUGACAGGUGGUGCAUGGUUGUCGUCAGCUCGUGUCGUGAGAUGUUGGGUUAAGUCCCGCAACGAGCGCAACCCUUAAGCUUAGUUGCCAUCAUUAAGUUGGGCACUCUAAGUUGACUGCCGGUGACAAACCGGAGGAAGGUGGGGAUGACGUCAAAUCAUCAUGCCCCUUAUGAUUUGGGCUACACACGUGCUACAAUGGACAAUACAAAGGGCAGCGAAACCGCGAGGUCAAGCAAAUCCCAUAAAGUUGUUCUCAGUUCGGAUUGUAGUCUGCAACUCGACUACAUGAAGCUGGAAUCGCUAGUAAUCGUAGAUCAGCAUGCUACGGUGAAUACGUUCCCGGGUCU